CUUCCUCACUGGUCCUAGGGCCCCUUACACUUUGCUGCUCUUGCCUGGCAGCUCAGUGUGCUGCCCUCUGGUGGAUUUUCUUCUCUGCGAGCCCAGCGCUGGGCACUUUGAUCUUUUCCCUGUCUCUCCAGCCGCUAGCAUAGUGAACCAGAGGGAGCAGCCCUCAGCCUUCCUCUCAUAACUGCUCACUGAGGCGUGGAAGGAACUGGAAGGGUGACUACCGUCUACCUGGACAACAGAAACUGGGGGUCUGUGGAAUGAGAAGUCCCCCAUUUCAGGAGAUUGGGAGAGAGCUGCAGACAUAGGUGAUGUCCCUGUUCUCUCUACCCCUCACCCAAAGAAGGGACACUGCCGCCGCCAGGCCUUCUGGGAGCCAGCUGCCACUGGUUCUGCAUCUUCAGGUCCACGAACCCCAAGUUCAUGAACACUCCAACAAUACCCAGCACUUAGGAGACUGAGACAGGAGGAUUUCAAGUCAAGGCCAUGAAAUCCUGGCUCCACAAGCAAAAACAAGUUCCAGAAAAUUCC